UACAGAGGUCUCAAGCGUUGUUCGGAUUCAUUGGGCGUAAAGGGUGCGUAGGUGGCGCGCUAAGUCAGGUGUGAAAUUUCGGAGCUUAACUCCGAAACUGCAUUUGAUACUGGCGUGCUUGAGGACUGGAGAGGAGACUGGAAUUCACGGUGUAGCAGUGAAAUGCGUAGAUAUCGUGAGGAAGACCAGUGGCGAAGGCGGGUCUCUGGACAGUUCCUGACACUGAGGCACGAAGGCCAGGGGAGGCAAACCGGG
rnacentral:rRNA from 1 species